rnacentral:rRNA from 1 species
GGCCGCAGUAUAUUAACUGUGCAAAGGUAGCAUAAUCAUUAGUUUUUUAAUUGAAAGCUUGUAUGAAAGGUUGGACGAGGUAAAUUCUGUCUCUGAUUAAAUUAAAUUAGAAUUUAAUUUUUAAGUUAAAAAGCUUAAAUUUUUUUAAAAGACGAGAAGACCCUAUAGAGCUUUAUAAUUUAUUAAAUAGGAUUAAUUUAGUUUUGUUAGUAUUUUUUUUUGUAAAUUAUUUUAUUGGGGUAAUAGAAAGAUUUAAAUAAUUCUUUUUUUUUGUAAACAUAAAUUUAUGAAUUUAAUGAUCCAAUUAUAUUGAUUAAAAGAUUAAGUUACCUUAGGGAUAACAGCGUAAUUUUUUUAGAGAGUUCAUAUCGAUAAAAAAGUUUGCGACCUCGAUGUUGGAUUAAAGAUUAUUUUAGGUGCAGAAGCUUAAAAUUUUGGUCUGUUCGACCAUUAAAUCUUUACAUGAUCUGAGUUCAGACCGGUGUAAGCCAGGUCGGUUUCUAUCUUUAUUUAAUUAUAAUAUUUUAGUACGAAAGGACCAAAUAUUAAAUAUAUUUAUAUUUUAAUUUAGAAUAUUAUUAAUAUAAAUUAUUUUGGCAGAUUAGUGCAAUGAAUUUAGAAUUCAUUUAUGUAAAUUUUUACAAAUAAUAUUGUUUUAUAUGGAUGUAAUGUUUUCAGUUAUUUGCAUAUUAUUAUUAGUUAUUUGUGUAUUGGUAGGAGUUGCUUUUUUAACAUUAUUGGAGCGUAAAG